CAGUAGCCGCGGUAAUACAGAGGAUGCAAGCGUUAUCCGGAAUGAUUGGGCGUAAAGCGUCUGUAGGUGGCUUUUCAAGUCCGCCGUCAAAUCCCAGGGCUCAACCCUGGACAGGCGGUGGAAACUACCAAGCUGGAGCACGGUAGGGGCAGAGGGGAUUUCCGGUGGAGCGGUGAAAUGCGUUGAGAUCGGAAGGAACGCCCGUGGCGAAAGCGAGGCCCUGGACCUUUUCUGACGCUGAGACGCGAAAGCCAGGGGAGCGAACGGGAUUAGAUACCCCGGUAGUCCCUGUCUCUUAUAC
rnacentral:rRNA from 1 species